rnacentral:rRNA from 1 species
AGUGAACGCUGGCGGUAGGCCUAACACAUGCAAGUCGAACGGCAGCACAGUAAGAGCUUGCUCUUACGGGUGGCGAGUGGCGGACGGGUGAGGAAUACAUCGGAAUCUACUUUUUCGUGGGGGAUAACGUAGGGAAACUUACGCUAAUACCGCAUACGACCUACGGGUGAAAGCAGGGGAUCUUCGGACCUUGCGCGAUUGAAUGAGCCGAUGUCGGAUUAGCUAGUUGGCGGGGUAAAGGCCCACCAAGGCGACGAUCCGUAGCUGGUCUGAGAGGAUGAUCAGCCACACUGGAACUGAGACACGGUCCAGACUCCUACGGGGGGCAGCAGUGGGGAAUAUUGGACAAUGGGCGCAAGCCUGAUCCAGCCAUACUGCGUGGGUGAAGAAGGCCUUCGGGUUGUAAAGCCCUUUUGUUGGGAAAGAAAAGCAGCAGGUUAAUACCCCGCUGUUCUGACGGUACCCAAAGAAUAAGCACCGGCUAACUUCGUG